UUAUUAAUGUAGGUAUGAAACUAUGAAGAUGACAGCUUACAUUAGUCGGACCUUUUGUGGCGCCCUCUGAGAUCAGUUUUGCCU